UACGUAGGGUGCAGGCGUUAAUCGGAAUUACUGGGCGUAAAGCGUGCGCAGGCGGUUUGCUAAGACAGGUGCGAAAUCCCCGGGCUUAACCUGGGAACUGCGCUUGUUACUGGCAAGCUGGAGUGUGGCAGAGGGGGGUGGAAUUCCACGUGUAGCAGUGAAAUGCGUAGAGAUGUGGAGGAACACCGAUGGCGAAGGCAGCCCCCUGGGCUAACACUGACGCUCAUGCACGAAAGCGUGGGGAGCAAACAGG
rnacentral:rRNA from 1 species